rnacentral:rRNA from 1 species
GAUGAACGCUGGCGGCGUGCCUAAUACAUGCAAGUCGAGCGAACGGACGAGAAGCUUGCUUCUCUGAUGUUAGCGGCGGACGGGUGAGUAACACGUGGAUAACCUACCUAUAAGACUGGGAUAACUUCGGGAAACCGGAGCUAAUACCGGAUAAUAUUUUGAACCGCAUGGUUCAAAAGUGAAAGACGGUCUUGCUGUCACUUAUAGAUGGAUCCGCGCUGCAUUAGCUAGUUGGUAAGGUAACGGCUUACCAAGGCAACGAUGCAUAGCCGACCUGAGAGGGGGAUCCGCCACACUGGAACUGAGACACCGUCCAGACUCCUACGGGAGGCAGCAGUAGGGAAUCUUCCGCAAUGGGCGAAAGCCUGACGGAGCAACGCCGCGUGAGUGAUGAAGGUCUUCGGAUCGUAAAACCCUGUUAUUAGGGAAGAACAUAUGUGUAAGUAACUGUGCACAUCUUGACGGUACCUAAUCAGAAAGCCACGGCUAACUACGUG